AUGGCCGAGCUGGAGCACUUGGGCGGGAAGCGGGCUGAGUCGGCGCGGGCGCGGCGGGCCGAGCAGCUGCGGCGCUGGCGGGGCUCGCCGACCGAGCAGGAGCCCGCUGACCGGCCGGGCGCGGGGCCGCAGGCUCGGCGCGGGGGCCCGCGGGUCCGCUUCGAGGACGGCGCUGUGUUCCUGGCCGCCUGCUCCAGCGGGGACACCGACGAAGUGAGGCGGCUCCUGGCCCGGGGCGCCGACGUGGACACGGCCAACGUGGACGGCCUGACCGCGCUGCACCAGGCCUGCAUAGACGAGAACCUGGAUGUGGUGAAGUUUCUGGUGGAGAACGGAGCCAGCGUCAACCAGCAGGACAACGAGGGCUGGACGCCCCUGCACGCGGCAGCGUCCUGUGGCUACCUCAACAUAGCAGAGUAUUUCAUUAACCAUGGAGCCUGCGUGGGCAUCGUCAACAACGAAGGCGAAGUCCCCUCUGACCUUGCAGAAGAGCCUGCCAUGAAGGACCUUCUUCUGGAGCAGGUGAAGAAGCAAGGGCUGGACCUCGAGCAGGCGCGGCGGCAGGAGGAACAGCAGAUGCUGCAGGACGCCCGCCAGUGGCUCAACAGCGGCAGGAUCGCCGACGUGAGGCAGGCGCGCUCGGGGGCCACUGCCCUGCACGUGGCUGCGGCCAAGGGCUACUCCGAGGUCCUCAGACUUUUGAUUCAGGCUGGCUGUGAGCUCAACGUCCAGGAUCACGAUGGGUGGACCCCGCUGCACGCGGCUGCGCACUGGGGCGUGAAGGAGGCCUGCUCCAUCCUGGCAGAGGCCCUCUGCGACAUGGACGUCAGGAACAAGCUGGGCCAGACGCCGUUCGACGUGGCCGACGAGGGCCUGGCGGAGCACCUGGAGGCGCUGCAGAAGAGGCAGGGCGUGCUUCGAAGUGAAAAAGAGACACGGGAUAAGCUCAUCGAAUCAGACCUGAACAGCGAGCUGCACAGUAGACUCUUCAAGAACAAAGAGAAGAUGCUCUGUGAGGAGGAGACGCCCAAGUCCCAGCGAGCAGAGGAGGAGAGCAAAGAGUCCAGCAGCUCCAGCUCCGAGGAGGAUGAGGGGGAGGACGAGGCCUCGGAGUCAGAGGCCGAGAAGGAGGCGGGGGACCCUGAGGCCGUCCGUCCGCAGAGCGCGGGGGGCCGCCGCGUGUCAGAAGAUGGCGGGCCGGGCGCCGUCCCCAGCCGUCCCAGCUCUGACUGCGGGAGCAGCGUCGCGGAGCGGACCCCCGCAGCCCCGCAGAGCGCCGUCCCCGCCGCUUCCGCCAGGAGACCCUCCAGCCUCUUCAGCAAGCCGGAAGAGACCAGGGACGAGUCUCCGUGUUCGUGGAGGCUGGGCCUCAGGAAGACCGGCAGCCAGAAUGUGCUGAGCGAGGCCGCAGGGGCCAGGGAGGCCCUGCGGGACCGGGGCGCAUCUGUCCACCGCUCGGCCUCCAGCCCCCGCAUCUCCACCCUGAUGGAUAGCAGAGAAAAGGAGAGAGAAACCAGAAGCUCCUUGAGUUCACUGGGGCUGCGGAGGCCGGGCAGCACGAGCGACCUUGAAGAGAAGGAGAACAGAGAGUCAGCUGCUAACCUGGUGUGCAGUGGCUCCCAGCCCCGGCAGCCCUGGAGGGACGCAGCCAAGGGGAGCGAGGCCCCGCAGACGGUGGCUCCCUCCACCUACGUGUCGACCUUCCUGAAAAGGACCCCUUACAGGUCCCAGGCCGACUCCACGGCAGAGAGAGCCGACGGCCUCGCCUGCAGCAGCCCGCUCUGUGUGAUCACGAACCGCCCCCCGCCCAGCACUGUCCGCGGGGCUCCAGCCGCCGCGCCACUCUGCGCCCCUGGCCCCGAGCCCUCUGCGGAAGCCGGGCAGAGGAGGAGGUCGUAUCUGACUCCCGUCCGGGACGAGGAAGCAGAGUCCUUACGGAAGGCGCGCUCCAGACAGGCUCGGCAGACUCGAAGGUCUACCCAAGGCGUCACCCUCACGGACCUUCAGGAAGCGGAGAGGACGUUCAGCCGGUCAAGGGUAGAGCGUCAGGCUCAGGAGCAGCCCAGCCUGAAGCCCGUGGGUCCCGGAGCACUUGAGGGCGGCCCCCGGAAGCACGAGCCCUUGGCGGCCCCUGCCCAGGAAGCCGGGGAGAGCCACCAGCCCUGGGGCCGGAGCCCGGAGGGAGAGCGUCCAGGUCAGCCCGAGCAGCCCACGGCGCCGGCGUCCCCUUCCGCCCCGAGACCCUCGCUCUACACCAGCUCCUACCUGCUCCGGACGGGUGGGUCCUCUGCGCCCGCCGCGCAGAGCUCAGAGCCCCCCGCAGGCACUGCCGGGACGCGGGACAUGGACAGAAACGAGGGCGGAGAAGCAGAGCCGGGCGACCAGUCCUCCGGCAGGAUGUCCGUCCGCGAGAGGAGGCGGCCCCGGGAGCGCCGGCGGGGCACGGGCAUCAACUUCUGGACGAAGGACGAAGAUGAAACGGAAGUCCCGGAAGAGGUGAAGAAAGCGUGGCGUGAGCGACUCUCCAGGCUGGAAUCUGGAGGCAGCGACGCAUCCACUGAGCGGGCCUCAGCCAGAGCCCGCCGGGAGGCCCGCGAGGCCCGCCUGGCCACUCUGAGCAGCCGCGCAGAGGAGGACGGCAGUAGGGACUACAGGAAGCUCUACGAGAGCGCCCUGACCGAGAACCAGAAGCUGAAGACAAAACUUCAGGAGGCCCAGCUCGAGCUGGCGGACGUGAAGUCCAGGCUUGAGAAGAUGGCCCAGAAGCAAGACAAGACUCCUGAGCGGUCGUCGGCACUGGAGACGGAGAAGCGGGAGAGGCGGGCCCUGGAGCGGAAGAUGUCGGAGAUGGAAGAGGAAGUGAAGGUCCUGACAGAGCUGAAGUCCGACAACCAGAGGCUGAAAGACGAAAACGGUGCCCUCAUCAGGGUCAUCAGCAAGUUGUCCAAGUAG
rnacentral:lncRNA from 1 species